UUCCCAUAAAAUGGAGAGUCCCCACAAAGAUAUGAAUACAAACGUGUGUGUGUGGAAGCAUUUGCUAAACACAGUGUGUCGGUCACCUUCUGUCCAUGCUGUUACAACCUAAGCCACCAGGAGGUGCUGUGGCCAUCAUAGAGGUUUGUGCAUCAUCUAAGACCAUUGAAGGACCUCAGGCUUAACAUGGAAAUUCUGGAUCGAUGUGUGGCGGCUUUCGUAGCCUUUGGACGAGCCAAACAUUAGCUGUCGUGCAAGCUAAAUCAGAUGCAUGUCAAAGCAGUUACGGGCACUGACCGGCGCACAUCCACAUGCAGGACAGUGAGCGGAGUCUGAACUCGCAAGUGACCCCCCCCCACACAGUCCUGGCUUAGACUGCCACCCACCCUUGGAGCAACAGACCAACACACGAACCCUAUCAGAUGACACUGUGAGGUUCAGCAUGUCCUGAUCCAACAAGGACAAAAUGAAUCCUUUGCCUCAGCCUGCCCUGCAUCACCAUCGGUCUUGCACUGUGGAUGUUUGUUUUGCGAUUCCGAACGAUGUAGCUCCCCUCAGCAGCUUCAUAAGGCUGGAGCUAAUAAACACCCCUUUUUAAAAGGUGUUUGAGUAACAAUCUCUAAAAACCACAGCUUCUGCAAUAAUCUCAGUUUCUUUCUUUCUGGAACCUUGUAGAGCUUUCGGCUGCGAGAGUAACCUAAGAUCUACAAAAGACAUGGAAGGGUGCGCACGCCACGUCCGGCCUCCAGAGGGAGAGGCUCGAUCGAAUGUGACGCAGGGCGUCAGCGUUCCGGUCAGGUGUGUCAUCUCAUAAUUUGACGCAAAUCCAUAUCGCCAACGGUAGCUGCAUGGUAACUGCAUCAUUCAGCGAUUUAAGGAGCUGUGUUAAAUCAAUGCGAGACUCACAGAAGCAGGAUGACGUUACAGACAGACAGACAACCUGCGGUAUAAAUUAGCGAUGAGCUGCUGCAGCGCUAAAUAAAAACAUUCCCAUUCAACCUGGUUUACUUCUUGCAACUGGACCCAGUGCAAAACGUGCUAAAGAAAUUCCAGCAAUUUGCGUUCCAGUGAUGUGACAGUGAGAUUCAUUCAUGAAUGGUCAGGUAAAUACGGGGUCCUGAUUGCUGCGGGUGGCUCACCAUCUGCCUUUGUUCCUUUCGGUCCGAUGCUCGUUUACAUUGUGUCAUUGUCCAGGUGCAGACUAGUGGACAGGAUAGCAUACAGGCGUGCCGUGACUGCGGACUGCUGGAGGGAGCCAGCGUCAUUUGUGUAGCGAUGGAGUACGGAAGAGUAAUUACACACAAUAGCAUCGUUUGUGUAGCGAUGGGGUAAGAUAGAGUAAUUACCCACAACUGUAUCGUUUGUGUAGUGAUGGGGUAAGAUAGAGUAAUUACCCACAACAACAUCGUUUGUGUAGCGAUGGGGUAAGGUAGAGUUUGUGUAGCGAUGGGGUAAGGUAGAGUUUGUGUAGCGAUGGGGUAAGGUAGAGUUUGUGUAGCGAUGGGGUAAGGUAGAGUUUGUGUAGUGAUGGGGUAAGGUAGAGUUUGUGUAGUGAUGGGGUAAGGUAGAGUUUGUGUAGUAAUGGGGUAAGGUAGAGUUUGUGUAGUGAUGGGGUACAGCAUUUUGUGACUAGGCCUGAAAAAAACAAAACCAACACUUCAGUUUAUACACAUUGCUGGGGGAGCUAAUCAAAACACCAAUUCCAGUCACCUGACUCUGCCCCCUAUCGGAA